rnacentral:rRNA from 1 species
AGUCACUGACGUAGUUUGAUCAGUGGCUACAGAACGAACGCUGGCGGCAGGCCUAACACAUGCAAGUCGAACGCCCUAGCAAUAGGGAGUGGCAGACGGGUGAGUAACGCGUGGGAAUACUCCCCCUCAGUACGGAAUAGCCCAGGGAAACUUGGAGUAAUACCGUAUACGUCCGUGAGGAGAAAGAUUUAUCGCUGAGGGAUUAGCCCGCGUAGGAUUAGCUAGUUGGUGAGGUAACGGCUCACCAAGGCGACGAUCCUUAGCUGGUCUGAGAGGACGAUCAGCCACACUGGGACUGAGACACGGCCCAGACUCCUACGGGAGGCAGCAGUGGGGAAUAUUGGACAAUGGGCGCAAGCCUGAUCCAGCCAUGCCGCGUGAGUGACGAAGGCCUUAGGGUUGUAAAGCUCUUUGGCGGGGACGAUAAUGACGGUACCCGCAGAAUAAGCCCCGGCUAACUUCGUG